GAGGCUUUUCUCUGUUGGCUCGGCACUUCUUCCUGCCGCCAUGUGAAGAAAGAUGUGUUUGCUUCCCAUUCUGCCAUGAUGCUGCUCAGUCACUUUUUGUGACAGAAAUGCCGUGUCAUUAUCCUUCAAUGUGAACUCCACAGGAAGGCUGAAAAUGAACUAAAGAGCCUGGAAAAUGUGGCUUGGUCAAGAUCUACCUAUCAGCAAGCACUCGAGCAAUGUCUGAGUGGCCUGGUAAUGGAGCCCCUCACAGAGCCUGUCACCAGCCAAUCACAGGCAUCACUCGGAGGCAUUUUCCCUUGGACGUAGCCAGCAUCCUGUUUCUUCAAGUUCAAAAACUAAAGCUUCCAUAUACCCCACCCUCUCAACGGAGAAGCUGAAUGUAAACUGUCCGUGCUAGGAAAUGUGGUAACAAGCAGUGAGUAAUGAAGGGUCCCCUGCUUGCUGCCUCAGUAUUUCCCUGACUAUUCUUUUUUCUUUCUAUCAUCCCUUUCUUUUAACUGGCAUUCGUUUUCUGAACUAUUUUCCGUGACAGAUGCUUAACCUUCACUUUGCUUUCCUGAAACGUGGCCUGGAGAAUCAGGUCUUUUCAAUAUGCUCUAUGUGUUUUUCCCCCUCUGCCAACAUUAGUAUUUGAAAAAAAUUUGGGGACCGCAUAAAGCUGGCAGGACAGAGCCAUCCACACCAUAUUUCUUUGUUAUUUGUGCUUAAUAUAUUGUUGGCAGCCUUGUCUGUUUUAGCUUGUUGGCAGGAUUUGGUCUCUCUUUCCCUGGCACUAUUCCCUCGUUUUUGAACAUGCAGGGAAAUUUAUUUAGAGAGCUUUCCAACAGUCCAUUUUUAGACCCAUGGAUGUAAAACUCACCAGUCGACCCUGUUCCAUCAAACGGCCAAGAAGCAGUCCUCAUUGUAAUUAAUCAUUACAAUAAUCAUUAAUAAUUACUGACAUGCACAUAAGUUUUGAAUCUUAAAAACACAACAUAUAUUUGCAACUUGCAUAAUGUCUCAGUAAAAACCUUCAGAAGACACUUGUGGCAAAGUGCAGAAUCUCACAGUGAACUAGCAGCUGAGAGGCCAUGAGGAGGCAGAACGCAUUUGACAAAACGCAAAACGCCUUGAAAUGCAGAAGAGUUUGGCAACAUGCAGCUAUGACAGUGAACUCUAGUAUUUGUUGCAUUUGGUUUUAGCUCAUUAUAAAGAAAAUGUGUUGCAAAUCAGGUAGAAGAAGCUGCUCCCUAAUAAUUAAAGCAUGUGUCCUAAACAGGUAGUCAAUUUCUUGACCGGAGGCAACCUUGAGCUGAUAGCACAUGUCAGUUCAGAGGAUGUAGUGCAAGGAGUGAAUUUCAUCAGUUCUAUAUAAAAAGAGAUUUCACCUUGAUCACUGCUGUCUGCUUAAUGGUUGUUCCAGUUCACAUCUCAUUUGAUUAACAGAAAUUUAGAGAAAAAAAAUUAAAACUGGUGAAAAAAAUUCAUCAAAAUGGAAAAUCAGUCACUGGCAUCCCCUACAGCAGCCCCACUAUACUUGAGCUAACAACUUACAGCCCCUCUCUAACCUAUACAUAAAUCGUUCUUCAGAGUUUAUUCCAAUCAUCAAAACCUGCAAGUACAUGGAUCAUGUACUGCCAAAAGAUUCUGCAUUGGCAUUUAAAAUACGAAUUUAAAAGCUUAAAAAUAUAUACCGCAUUAAGGAUGUUUAUCUCUGAGAUGUGGGACUGUUUUCUUUUUGUAUUCUUUUGCAUGUAAUCCUUUUAUAAUUGGAUGAACAAUAUGUAAUUUUAAGAAAGUAGAGAAUUUCUUUCCUCAAGUAUCAGGAGAAUGAACAAUCUUAAAAUUAAAAUCAACUUUUUGUGCAAGAAUUUUCCAAACACUUGAGCAAUUUUUGACUUAAAUCCAAGGUUUCAUGACUGAAGGUGUACUUAGCAACUAUCCCAUGGUGCACACUCCAAAAACUCUACUCCAAUAUGCCAGUGAGUGUUUUCUACUCCAAAGAAUAGUGAACUAUGUCCUGUGAGCCCAACUUGACUGGUUCCUUCUUUUCCUAUGGCCCACAAGCACAUAAUAAUAGUUUUCAUCUUUUCAAAGGGUUUAUUUUAAAUGGUUAUUUUAGUACCUACACAAUCCCUUCUGCUUUUGGUAUUUUUGUUUGACAGCAAAACCUAAAACAUUUAUUUUCUGGCCCUUUAAGAAAGAACUCACCAGUCACCGAUGUAACAAAAAGUGGUCCAUAUUGAAAGAAUUGUAGGAUACAGUAAGUAAAAACAGGAAAACGUUUUUUCACUCAAUCCCUCUCAAGGCUUUAAUGUGCUAUUAGGUAUUAUAACUAUAACUAAAUUAUAACUAUAACUAUGCAUCCUCCCCAAACUAUUUGACCAUUUAGAGUUUCCUUCUAGGCAGGCUUUAUGAUAUAUUCAAGGUUAUUAUGAAGUGUGGUGCAUUGUUAUUCAACUAAAGGAAGUUUGCUCUGUACCUUUAUAGGAAUUCAUAAAGACAAGUUACUACAUUCAGGUCCCAGAUGCAGCUCUUUAUGGAAAAUGACAUCAUGUAAAACAGUGCCUCUGUCUGCUCAGAGUUCACAAUCAUUUCAAGAAAUAAAAGACUGUUUUUUUUAAGUGUAGAAAUGGUAUGUCUCAAAGACAUCAGUAAUAGAAAUAAAAGCCAGUAAUUAAAUUUGGAUUUAUUCUCUUUUUUCUAGCACACAGCCUUUGGGAUGGGGUAGAGAAAGAAGUGCCCUUCCUUACAAAGACAGGAAAUCAGGCAUCUCAGUUUUAAGAAUUGCGUCUCUUUAUCCGCAGGGAUUGGUAAACAGACUUUUCAAAGUGUUGCUAAGAACCAUAA
rnacentral:lncRNA from 1 species